rnacentral:snRNA from 1 species
GGAUGCAAGGGCAAUCUGGCUGCAACAUCUGUCACCCCAUUGAUCGCCAGGGUUGAUUCUGCUGACCUGGCUGGCUAGGCGGGUGUCCCCUUCCUCCCUCACCGCUCUAUGUGCUUCCCUCCAGAAGCUGCAUGCUCCGUUGAAGAGGACAGACUUCCCCGAAUAGAGACAGACCAGUCUUUGGUCGAGUGUAUAGAAGUAGCUGCGUUCCCCUGCUAGAACCUCCAAACAAGUUCUCAUUUGUUUGACCCCCAGCUAAGUUUCAAAGUAACAAUAAUUAGAAAAAGUGUUUUAAUUUAGAAUUAAUUU